AUUCUAGAGUAUUCUUGGCUGAUCUAGAGUCUUCCGAUGGUGCCAAGAUGUUCCAGCAACUUGUAGGCUGUUCCGGAAACUUCCGGGCAGCCCUAGACGCAUCUUUAGUGUACCAGAACCUUCCGGAACUCGCAAAACAAAUUUUUGUAUUUAGGCGGAUCGUGACACUUUGUAACCCUUCAGUUAUCUGCCCUUCUCAUACGCAACACAAUCAAAUCUUCAUCUUCUUCACGUUAUACCCACUAAUUGUCGGAUUCCAUCUACGAUUAUCGGAUCCAAUCAUGGGUCACGGUGAGAACAGUGGGAGACCUCAUAAGAGGAACAAAUAUUCAUCAUAGGUGAUGGAGAUGGAAAGAAAAGAGAUUUUACAAAGCUGGAACUUAAACCCGAUUAUGCCAAUCGUCUGUUAUGGGCGUGUGCAGAUCUUUCUUGAGACGUUUUCGCCGUUGUAUAAACAAGCAUAUGAUUUUCUCAUUGCUAUCGCAAAACCUGUCUGCAGGCCUGAAUCGAAGCAUGAAUACAACCUCACUCCGCACUCACUUUAUGCUGCUGUAUCCAUGGGUCUAGAAACUGAAACAAUCAUUGCUGUUUUGAACAAGCUUUUGAAAACCAAAAAGAGAUGAUCGAGUUUAUACACGCUUCUACGCCAAAUUACGGGAAAGUAAAGCUUCUACUUAAGAAGAAUCGACACCUAGUUGAAUCUCCUUUCCCU